rnacentral:rRNA from 1 species
UUAGUGGCGGACGGGUGAGUAACGCGUGGAAAACCUGCCGUAUACUGGGGGAUAACACUUAGAAAUAGGUGCUAAUACCGCAUAAGCGCACAGCUUCGCAUGAAGCGGUGUGAAAAACUCUGGUGGUAUACGAUGGUUCCGCGUCUAAUUAGCUAGUUGGUGGGGUAAUGGCCUACCAAGGCAACGAUCAGUAGCCGGCCUGAGAGGGUGAACGGCCACAUUGGGACUGAGACACGGCCCAAACUCCUACGGGAGGCAGCAG